rnacentral:rRNA from 1 species
AUACGGAGGAUCCGAGCGUUAUCCGGAUUUAUUGGGUUUAAAGGGAGCGUAGGCGGACGCUUAAGUCAGUUGUGAAAGUUUGCGGCUCAACCCCAUUCUGCCGUUGAUACUGGGUGGCUUGAUUGCGGUCGAGGUUGGCGGAAUUCGUUGUGUAGCGGUGAAAUGCAUAGAUAUGACGAAGAACACCGAUUGCGUAGGCAGCUGACCAGACCGCAAAUGACGCUCAUGCACGAAAGUGCGGGGAUCGAACAGGAUUAGAUACCCUGGUAGUCCGCACAGUAAACGAUGAAUACUUGUUUUCGGCGAUAUAAUGUCGGAGGCAAAGCGAAAGCGAUAAGUAUUCCACCUGGGGAGUACGCCGGCAACGGUGAAACUCAAAUGAAUUGACGGGG